rnacentral:rRNA from 1 species
GAUUAAGUGUCGUAAGGGCAUUUGGUGGAUGCCUUGGCAUGCACAGGCGAUGAAGGACGUGAUACGCUGCGAAAAGCCGUGGGGAGCUGCGAAUGAGCUUUGAUCCAUGGAUCUCCGAAUGGGGCAACCCACCUUAAAUGCUUGGGAAAUCGAGCGUGCCGUUGGCACGAAAGUGAGUAGGAAUUAGUGAUUAGUGAGCAGUGAAAACUACUCACUACCGACUGAUCACUACUCACUGCGCGUCAAGGACGCGCUCGGUUUCCAAGCAUUGUGAUAAGGUAUCUACACCUGAAUACAUAGGGUGUAAGAAGCGAACGCAGGGAACUGAAACAUCUAAGUACCUGCAGGAAAGGACAUCAACCGAGACUCCGCAAGUAGUGGCGAGCGAACGCGGACCAGGCCAGUGGCAAUUGUGAUUAAAGUGGAACGCUCUGGAAAGUGCGGCCGUAGUGGGUGACAGCCCCGUACGCGUAGAUAUCAUGAUUGUCCUAGAGUAGGGCGGGACACGAGAAAUCCUGUCUGAACAUGGGGAGACCACUCUCCAAGCCUAAGUACUCGUGCAUGACCGAUAGCGAACAAGUACCGUGAGGGAAAGGUGAAAAGCACCCCGACAAGGGGAGUGAAAUAGAACCUGAAACCGGAUGCCUACAAACAGUCGGAGCCCGCAAGGGUGACGGCGUACCUUUUGUAUAAUGGGUCAACGACUUAGUGUAACAAGCAAGCUUAAGCCGGUAGGUGUAGGCGAAGCGAAAGCGAGUCUGAAUAGGGCGAUAUAGUUUGUUGCAUUAGACCCGAAACCGAGUGAUCUAGCCAUGAGCAGGUUGAAGGUUGGGUAACACCAACUGGAGGACCGAACCCGCAUCUGUUGCAAUAGAUUGGGAUGACUUGUGGCUAGGGGUGAAAGGCCAAUCAAACUCGGAAAUAGCUGGUUCUCCGCGAAAUCUAUUUAGGUAGAGCGUCGAGCGAAUACCCCCGGGGGUAGAGCACUGGAUGGGCUAUGGGGACUCACCGUCUUACUGAUCCUAACCAAACUCCGAAUACCGGGGAGUACUACUCGGCAGACACACGGCGGGUGCUAACGUCCGUCGUGAAAAGGGCAACAACCCUAACCUCCAGCUAAGGUCCCCAAGUCAUGGCUAAGUGGGAAAGGAUGUGAGGAUCCCAAAACAACCAGGAUGUUGGCUUAGAAGCAGCCAUCAUUUAAAGAAAGCGUAACAGCUCACUGGUCUAAAUAAGGGUCUUUGCGCCGAAAAUGUAACGGGGCUGAAGCCAUGCACCGAAGCUGAGGAUGUGUAGCAAUACACGUGGUAGCGGAGCGUUCCGUAAGCCGAUGAAGGGAGACCUGUGAGGGCUCCUGGAGGUAUCGGAAGUGCGAAUGUUGACAUGAGUAACGAUAAAGAGGGUGAGAGACCCUCUCGCCGAAAGACCAAGGGUUCCUGCUUAAAGUUAAUCUGAGCAGGGUUAGCCGGCCCCUAAGGCGAGGCAGAAAUGCGUAGUCGAUGGGAACCACGUUAAUAUUCGUGGGCCUGGUGGUAGUGACGGAUUGCACAAGUUGUUCAUUCUUAUUGGAUUGGAUGGGCAGCGGAGCGGUUCCAGGAAAUAGCUCCACCGUAUAGACCGUACCCGAAACCGACACAGGUGGUCAGGUAGAGUAUACCAAGGCGCUUGAGAGAACUAUGUUGAAGGAACUCGGCAAAUUGCACGCGUAACUUCGGAAGAAGCGUGACCCCAUGCUAGGCAACUAUUAUGGGGUGGCACAGACCAGGGGGUAGCGACUGUUUAUCAAAAACACAGGGCUCUGCGAAGUCGCAAGACGACGUAUAGGGUCUGACGCCUGCCCGGUGCUGGAAGGUUAAGAGGAGAGGUGCAAGCUUUGAAUCGAAGCCCCAGUAAACGGCGGCCGUAACUAUAACGGUCCUAAGGUAGCGAAAUUCCUUGUCGGGUAAGUUCCGACCUGCACGAAUGGCGUAACGACUUCCCCGCUGUCUCCAACAUAGACUCAGUGAAAUUGAAUUCCCCGUGAAGAUGCGGGGUUCCUGCGGUCAGACGGAAAGACCCCGUGCACCUUUACUAUAGCUUUACACUGGCAUUCGUGUCGGCAUGUGUAGGAUAGGUGGUAGGCUUUGAAGCGGGGACGCCAGUUUCCGUGGAGCCAUCCUUGAAAUACCACCCUUAUCGUCAUGGAUGUCUAACCGCGGCCCGUCAUCCGGGUCCGGGACAGUGUAUGGUGGGUAGUUUGACUGGGGCGGUCGCCUCCGAAAGAGUAACGGAGGCGCGCGAUGGUGGGCUCAGACCGGUCGGAAAUCGGUCGUCGAGUGCAAUGGCAUAAGCCCGCCUGACUGCGAGACUGACAAGUCGAGCAGAGACGAAAGUCGGUCAUAGUGAUCCGGUGGUCCCG